rnacentral:tRNA from 1 species
GGAGAGAUGGCUGAGCAGACCAAAGUGGUGGAUUGCUAAUCCGUAGUAUGGAUUAUCCAUACCAAGGGUUUGAAUCCCUCUCUCUCUG